rnacentral:rRNA from 1 species
CUCAGGAUGAACGCUAGCGGCAGGCUUAACACAUGCAAGUCGAGGGGUAUAUUUCUUCGGAGAUAGAGACCGGCGCACGGGUGCGUAACGCGUAUGCAAUCUACCUUUUACAGAGGGAUAGCCCAGAGAAAUUUGGAUUAAUACCUCAUAGUAUAUCACAAUCGCAUGAUUGAGUUAUUAAAGUCACAACGGUAAAAGAUGAGCAUGCGUCCCAUUAGCUAGUUGGUAAGGUAACGGCUUACCAAGGCUACGAUGGGUAGGGGUCCUGAGAGGGAGAUCCCCCACACUGGUACUGAGACACGGACCAGACUCCUACGGGAGGCAGCAGUGAGGAAUAUUGGACAAUGGGCGCAAGCCUGAUCCAGCCAUGCCGCGUGCAGGAUGACGGUCCUAUGGAUUGUAAACUGCUUUUAUACGAGAAGAAACACUNCUUCGUGAAGGAGCUUGACGGUAUCGUAAGAAUAAGGAUC